AUGAUGUGGUUUAAUUCGAUGCAACGCGAAGAACCUUACCAGGUCUUGACAUCCAACGAAUCCUUCUGAAAGGAAGGAGUGCCUUCGGGAGCGUUGAGACAGGUGGUGCAUGGUUGUCGUCAGCUCGUGUCGUGAGAUGUUGGGUUUAAGUCCCGCAACGAGCGCAACCCUUGCUAUUAGUUGCUAACAGGUUAAGCUGAGCACUCUAAUGGGACUGCCGGUGACAAGCCGGAGGAAGGUGGGGAUGGCGUCAAAUCAUCAUGCCCUUUAUGACCUGGGCUACACACGUGCUACAAUGGAUGGUACAGAGAGCAGCGAGGCAGCGAUGUGGAGCGAAUCUCAAAAAGCCAUUCUCAGUUCGGAUUGGAGUCUGCAACUCGACUCCAUGAAGUCGGAAUCGCUAGUAAUCGCGAAUCAGCAUGUCGCGGUGAAUGCGUUCCCGGGCCUU
rnacentral:rRNA from 1 species